UGGUGGUGGCGACGGCGGCGGUGGCGGUGGUGGGGCCGGCGCCGCCGGCCUCGCGCCCAGUCACCGGCCCACGGCCUCCGCAGCUACCUCGGUUGGGCCUCCUCCCCUCCCGCCCGUGACCUCCGCCUCAGGGGAGCGCGCCCAUGGCCCUCGCGCCCCAAUCCCGUGCGGGAGGACAGAGCGAGCCGCGGCGGACGCCUCGUCGUCCCUUUUCCCGCAGCAGCCCGUGCCCCGGCAGCCUCCUGCCUUCGGUCCGCCGCCCUUCCGUCCCCACCCCCGGCGCUCUCCGCCCCAGCCCCCACCACCGAGCCGCCUUCCCCGGCUCCUCCACUAGGUGUGGCGGAGGCGGCGGCGUCUCAGGCGGCUGAGAACGAGGCCGCUUCCCCGCAGCCCCGGACGAGCGCUCGGUCACCUGAUCUGCCGCGCCGGCGCCCUCGCGAGGCCGGACGGGGAACUGCGCCUAGUUGGGGCGGGUGGGGGCCUCGGCCCGCCUCGCGCGGCCUCGCUGCAGCCGCCGCUCGGGACGCGGCUCCGGCUCCACACGCGACCCAACCCGGCCUGGCCCGCCCACUGUCCGGGAAGCCUAAGCCCGACCUGAUGAGACGCUCCGGCUGAACACAGCAGAUGUGCUCUGCGAGGCGGCCUUCGCCUCUCCCUUCCUCCCCUUUCCAGCCUAUCUCCCCCGCUUCAAGGCAGUUCAGGGGAGAGAGGGUCGGAAGCGAGGGCGACUCAAGUUCCUCAGAUAAUCAGAAUCUGACAUUUGUCGACGGGAUUACCCCUCCGGAGAAGACGUCAAUAGAAGAGGCCCUGGCCUGAGGGAGGCAGAAAUAAAUGUUUCUUCAAGUGCAUGAAGGAACUUUCCUAUUUUUUUUCUGGCCUCCACCCCAAAUCCCACCCCUUCUUGGCAACAUUCUGCUUUUCCAUAUUUUUUUUUUCCUUUUUUUCCUGAUCAAACACCUCCCAGUCACACCCGAAGGCUGCCCCCUCUGAUUCCAAAAGUGAGCAAAACCAAGGACUUAUGUCAUUGACUUGGGUGAGGAACUCCAGCAAAGAGGAGUCAAGCUGUUUUGAUGGAUUUUUUCGCCUUAAUUUCGUUUGAUGUAUUAAUUUUUAAGUAAGUGACAAAAUAUUCUGCCACCUUCAAUAAACGACAUUACAAAAGUAAGUGUCAUUGGAUUGAUCAAAACACUUUAUGGAAAGGAAAUUGUGAGGAAUAUAUUCUGAAACUUUUUAAAAAUCUAGUGUAUGUAGAGUUCCUUCAGAAAUUUUCGUUUUAAUAUUACAAGAUCAAGGCAGUAGACUGAACUUGAUUUAAGGAGCUUCGAAAAGAGUCCUACAUUCAGCGAAAAAUCCUACCUGCCAUUAUACUUGGAGUCCUAUACACAAAAUUAACUUGAAUGAAGGUUUUUUAAUACAAACACCUCAGAGAGAUCACCUAUUGAGCUAGUAUUAGUUAUUAGCAUAUUGGGGGGAUUUAAUUUAUCUGGUUGCAUUCCAACUUCAUAGUUUAAAUAUUAAUUUAGAGAAGGUAAGAGUCUGGAACCUGAGAUAGUGAGGGCAGACCUGGGAAGGAGAGGGUGUAGGGAGAGGGGUGGGGAAUAAAGAUGUGCUUUUUUCAGGGACCAAAGGCAAAUUUAACCAGACAGAAUUAGAGUCCUACAUAGAAAGGUUAUAUCAUUUUCUAGUUUUUCAAACGGAGAAGGCGAUGGCACCCCACUCCAGUACUCUUGCCUGGAAAAUCCCAUGGACGGAGGAGCCUGGUAGGCUGCAGUCCAUGGGGUCGCUAAGAGUCGGACACGACUGAGCGACUUCACUUUCACUUUUCACUUUCAUGCAUUGGAGAAGGAAAUGGCAACCCACUCCAGUGUUCUUGCCUGAGAAUCCCAGGAUGGCAGAGCCUGGUGGGCUGCCCUCUGUGGGGUCGCACAGAGUCAGACACGACUGAAGCGACGCAGCAGCAGCAGUUUUUCAAAAGUGCUGUCUAGAGAGAACAAUAAAAUGGUGCCACAUUAAAAUCUGAACACAGCUGUCAUUUAGAAAAGCCACUAUCAUGAUUCCAUAUGAACUUGAAC
rnacentral:lncRNA from 1 species